rnacentral:rRNA from 1 species
AUUGAACGCUGGCGGCAGGCCUAACACAUGCAAGUCGAGCGAACCUAGCUUGCUAGGUGAGCGGCGAACGGGUGAGUAACACGUAGGAAUCUGCCCGAUAGUGGGGGACAACGUUUCGAAAGGGACGCUAAUACCGCAUACGCCCUACGGGAGAAAGCAGGGGAUCUUCGGACCUUGCGCUAUCGGAUGAGCCUGCGUCGGAUUAGCUAGUUGGGGGGGUAAAGGCCCACCAAGGCGACGAUCCGUAGCUGGUCUGAGAGGAUGAUCAGCCACACCGGAACUGAGACACGGUCCGGACUCCUACGGGAGGCAGCAGUGGGGAAUAUUGGACAAUGGGGGCAACCCUGAUCCAGCCAUGCCGCGUGUGUGAAGAAGGCCUUCGGGUUGUAAAGCACUUUAAGAGGGGAGGAAGGUUCGUUGGCUAAUACCCAGCGGAAUUGACGUUACCCUCAGAAUAAGCACCGGCUAACUCCGUGCCAGCCGCCGCAGUAAAAC